rnacentral:lncRNA from 1 species
CGAAACCCUACCCGGAUCCGACCCGAACACCCGACCCGACUCCCACCGCCCACAGACCGCGAACCCUACCCGAUUAUCCGGGUCCGGAUCCACUUCGCGACCCGGAAAAUCGCAAACCCUAGGGUUUGCGAAUCCGCGGCGCCGAGGAGCUGCAGUGACGACGACGGCGAAGACGGCGGCGACGGCGGAGAUGACUGGACUAUGCGGUGGGAUAUGGCGUCGGUGACGAUGACGGCACGAUACCUACUCGGCAAUGGCGCGGCGAAGGCGACGGCAGCAAGGGCAACGGUAGACUGGUGGCAACAACCGCGGCGGACAACGACGGCGACGAUGGAUCUUGGACGGUCAGAUCUGGCCGGAUCCGUCGUCGAGUUUCCCUCUCUCUCCCUCGGGCUCGCUCGGCGAACUCCCCAAAGUCUCUCGGGGACCCCUCCGAGCUCACCACGCCACGGCUGACCCUACGCUCGAACUCCCCGAAGUCUCUCAGGGACCCCGAGCUUCGGCCGCCUCUCUCUUUCUUCCUCCUUUCUCUCUCUGUGUCUGUGCCCUUCGUCGACGGUGACCCCCCUCUAUUUAUAGGCGCGGGAGCGGCCGGUCGGCGAGGCUUCGACCCGCCGGUUGGGCCGCCG